rnacentral:lncRNA from 1 species
GUAGAAGGCAAGAGAAUGAAUAAUCAAACACCACAGUAAGCUACGGACACAUUCCCUAAGCAAAUAGAAAUAUAAAGAAACCAAAUUAUUAGGCACAUUUGUGGGGAAAUCUUUAUUUCUUAGGUGAUUCAUAAUUCUAAACUGCAAUCCUUUAUGUCUUUGAUCGUACUAGGUGAAAUCUGUACAUCACACCAUGAAAUUGCUUCUCUACUAGUUACUUUUAUUCUGAUAUUCACAGGAAACGUAAGGACGCCACAUGGUGACCUCUUUUCUUCUCAUAGAGAACUCUUUAUGUAUAUAAAAUCCUUAUCCAAGAACACUAAUACAAAGAUUUUCCAUGAAGUGGACUGA